rnacentral:rRNA from 1 species
CAGGCCUAACACAUGCAAGUCGAACGUGAUCCAGGCUUCGGCCUGGUGAAAGUGGCAGACGGGUGAGUAACGCGUGGGAACCUGCCCUGUGGUAGGGAAUAACCGUGGGAAACUGCGGCUAAUACCCUAUGAGUCCUUCGGGAGAAAGAUUUAUCGCCAUAGGAGGGGCCCGCGUCGGAUUAGGUAGUUGGUGGGGUAACGGCCUACCAAGCCUUCGAUCCGUAGCUGGUCUGAGAGGAUGAUCAGCCACACUGGGACUGAGAUACGGCCCAGACUCCUACGGGAGGCAGCAGUGGGGAAUAUUGGACAAUGGGGGCAACCCUGAUCCAGCAAUGCCGCGUGGAUGAUGAAGGCCUUCGGGUUGUAAAGUCCUUUCGGCGGGGAAGAUGAUGACGGUACCCGCAGAAGAAGCCCCGGCUAACUUCGUGCCAGCAGCCGCGGUAAUAC